rnacentral:antisense_RNA from 1 species
ACAUGGGUCUGCAGCUACUGAGCUGACAGCAAGGACUAAAAUGGGAGCACUGUAGAGGAAAAAAAUUUUCAGCCUGACCAAUAUGGAGAAACCCCAUCUCUACUAAAAAUACAGAAUUAGAGGAGAGAAGGUUCCAAGAUGGCCAAAUAGGAACAGCUCCAGUCUACAGCUCCCAGCGUGAGCAACGCAGAAGACGGGUGGCUUCUGCACUUCCAACUGAGGAUAUAUGAUUGUGUGGCCUGACAAUCUCAGAAAGUAAAAGCAAAGAAAUUGAAAGACAUGGAAAGAACUAGGCCGGGACCAGCACUGGGCCUUAAUAACCAGUUCACUGAGAUGCAUUAUCCAUAUGAUUCAAGAGAGAGCCUUUAUUACUCAUCCGACCAAGCUUGCAGUGAAACUUUUUGUAAGAAAAGGAAUGGUGUGUUGAGAAUUAAAAUUAAGUGACAUCACCAACAAAAGAACCUAACUGCCCAUGCC